AGAGAGAGACAUGCGCGCAUAUCAAUAAGCGGAGGAAAAGAAACUAACAAGGAUUCCCCUAGUAACGGCGAGUGAAGCGGGAAGAGCUCAAAUUUGAAAUCUUAAAGGGUUUCCCUUUACGAAUUGUAGUUUGAAGAAGUGUUUUCUGUUGAGGUUUUGGCUAAAAGUUCUUUGGAAUAGGACAUCAUAGAGGGUGAGAAUCCCGUAUUUGACCUUUACUUUCAACUUUGUGAUACACUUUCAAAGAGUCGGAUCGUUUGGGAAUGCAGUCCAAAAUGGGUGGUAAAUUUCAUCUAAAGCUAAAUAUUGGCGAGAGACCGAUAGCGAACAAGUACCGUGAGGGAAAGAUGAUAAGAACUUUGAAAAGAGAGUUAAACAGUACGUGAAAUUGUCAAAAGGGAAGCGUUUGACACUAGUGUUGUUUUCUCGAAAAUCAAUUAAAAAGAGUUAGGAUUUUGUUGUGUAUUGACUCUUAAUCUAGCUUGCAUUUCAAUUUUCUUGUCUUUUUUUAAUGCACUUUUCGUUUAACAAGUCAACAUCAAUUUCUUUGUUGUAAAAAGGGUCAUUGGGAAGGUGGCUUUCUUUUCGGAGAAAGUGUUUAUAGCCUUUGACUCCUGCAAUCGGAGAGACUGAGGUCUGCAGCGUAGAUCCUUCGGGGUUAGAUACAUUUGUGCUAAGUUAUAGCUUUUAUAGACAACUUGUUGACUAUGAUUAGUCAUUGUAGCUUACUCGCUUAUGCUAUUUUACCUACGCUUAGGAUGUUGAUGUGAUACUGCGAGCA
rnacentral:rRNA from 1 species